UGGGGAAUUUUGGACAAUGGGCGAAAGCCUGAUCCAGCAAUGCCGCGUGUGUGAAGAAGGCCUUCGGGUUGUAAAGCACUUUUGUCCGGAAAGAAAUCCUUGGCUCUAAUACAGUCGGGGGAUGACGGUACCGGAAGAAUAAGCACCGGCUAACUACGUGCCAGCAGCCGCGGUAAUACGUAGGGUGCAAGCGUUAAUCGGAAUUACUGGGCGUAAAGCGUGCGCAGGCGGUUUGCUAAGACCGAUGUGAAAUCCCCGGGCUCAACCUGGGAACUGCAUUGGUGACUGGCAGGCUAGAGUAUGGCAGAGGGGGGUUAGAAUUCCACGUGUAGCAGUGAGAUGCGUAGAGAUGUGGAGGAAUACCGAUGGCGAAGGCAGCCCCCUGGGCCAAUACUGACGCUCAUGCACGAAAGCGUGGGGGAGCAAACAGGAUUAGAUACCCUGGUAGUCCACGCCCUAAACGAUGUCAACUAGUUGUUGGGGAUUCAUUUCCUUAGUAACGUAGCUAACGCGUGAAGUUGACCGCCUGGGGAGUACGGUCGCAAGAUUAAAA
rnacentral:rRNA from 1 species